CAGGUUUGCAGUAGUCUCUUGAAACACUAUCAAGCUGCCAGUGAUGGAGCUGUCUGAUAGAGCUAGGAGCUGAGGAUGAGAGAGAGAGAGACCUCUGAUGAAAACCCAGUGACAGUGGCUCUAAUCACAGAUCCCAUCAGUGUUGCAGAGGAUGAGCAGAGGGAGUGUUCCAUUCGCUCCCUAAGCUCCCCAUCACCCCGCCUCCCCCUCCUUCUUUUUAGUGAUUUGCUCAGUGAAAUCACUCAGUGGGGAGAAGUGUUGGCUCAAAAGCGAGUAAAAGGAGUGGAUGGGUUUCUGGUCAACCAAAGACCCCAACGUCACAACUCCCUGGCUCUUAAUCAGACGUGAAACACGUGUCUUCAACAGAACAGGUUUUCAGAAUGUGGCACCUUGCUCUCCAGUGUCCGCACAGAGAUCACUGUCUGCUCCUCAUCCACCUUAGCUUUCCA